rnacentral:lncRNA from 1 species
AUGAGACACCUCUUCUCCCUACCCUGCCACAGUUCAGUCACACAUUGCCAGGCCACCUUCUCAUUGCUAGCUGUGCACCUGCAUCCCUCACUUUGGACGAGCACCAGUACAUGCCUCUGCCUCACAGCUGGGUUCAGCUUGUCCCAUGUGCUCCAUGCCCUCCAAGCCAGCAGUCGUAGACACCUUUCAACCUACAAGGCAAACAGUAAUGACUCAGGUACUUUGGGCUACGUGAUGGUGAGGAGAUGGCUCUUGCUUGGAAGUGUUCCAGAGAGGAGGGUUCUGGUUCACACACUCCCUCGAGAGUACAUCUGCGCUCCAUUAGUCCUGGUCUCCACAACAUAGAGCCUUCCUCAAAAGUCGGGAAGAAGAAAUGACAGCAGAACAAAAGGGAUGAAGGAGGGACAAGGAAUUUGGUCAGCGUAUCUCUUUACCUAACGGAAAUCCUUGGGUGAUACCGGAGACCUGGGGGCAUCUGAGCAGCAGCAGCUGCAGCCUAGCCUUUGACAGCAGGGUUUAUCCUGCAAUGCAGCAGGUGGGGGACUGGUGGGGCACAGCUGCCGAUGCUAGUGGGACAAGCCCAAGUGAAGUGGGCGAUUUCACUCAUUGAUGGAGGAAGUACAGGUCUCUGAAGUACCAUCUGGGCGCAAGUGAGGUGCAUUGGGUUGAAUCCUCAACCACGGUGCUGGGGAGCAAUCGUCCUGCGUGGCAGUGGGAGAGGCGCUGUGGGGAAUCACAGAAUCACGGAAUAUCCCCAGUUGGAAGGGGCCCACAAGGGUCAUUGAGUCCAUCUCCUGGCUCCAGCCAGGGCCACCCACAGCUAGCUCGCUGGGAGCAGCACUACGGCAGCUGGGACCAUCUAAAUGCUAUUAACACACUCACAAUAUUUUCCCAGCCAGUCAGGACACAAAACUGCACUCCAGUGACAUUAUAUCUGUGGUAACCAAACCCUCUUAUGCAGUCACCUACCUUGCCAGGGCUGAGCAAGUUCUCUUGGCACAAGAUAAUUUUUAGCAUGAUUCUCUUUCCAGCAUUGCCAGGGCUGAUGCUGAAAGUCUCUCUAGCCGUUCAGCCAUGCUCAGGGUAGGCCUGGUAACUCAACAUCGAGUUUCUGGUAACUCGAGCUGCCUUUGUGUUGACGGCUGUGCCUGCAGCUGUGCUGUGGGACCAACAGGGUUUAUGGUGGAUAAUGGAUUUCAAAGGUGCCAUCGUGUCCCAUGGAGGUGAUUCUGUUCUUCUCAUUUCUGGUACGUGACCAUAGUAGCUAAAGGCCCAGCCUUCCACCUGCUGAAAUCCAUCACAGCCUUGCCCUUGGCUUGAGGAGAAGCUGGUACUGACUUUCAGUUAAAGAAGAAAAGAUAGAAGAAUGCAACAAAUGCACACAGAGCAUACCAGAGCCCUGUCGGCAUCCAAGCAGCAGGAGGAAGAGCUGCAAUUUUUGUAAGCAGAGCACAGGGAGAGGACAGGAAGUUUUGGGAACUGCAUACAUCCUAGAUUAAAUGAGAUUAGUGUGCGUUUAUUCAGAAUAAACCACGAACUAUCUUGGCAAAAAGUCUACCCUUAGAGUAGAGAUUGUAAAGUACUAGAUGGUAGGUUGUAAAGUGACUUGUCAGAUAAUUCCUUGAUUGGCAGAUAAGAGGUGGCUGUUGCAGCGUGAUUCACAAAAUGGAGCCCUGGGGCACCCUUACCUACAAAACAGCAAUUCCACCCACACCACCAAGAAGCAGCUGGAAGCAAGGGGAGAGUUUCUCACACGGCUGUGAUUCGCACCCUGGAGAAGCAGAGACUGAGAUGGCUCUCAGAGGAGUGUGUUUAGCCAGAAAGAAUGCUUUUUUGGUUGGCAUUCAUCCUGGGAAAAAAACUUGGUGUCGUUGAACUGCCAAGGCCACUGGAGUCAUCAUAGCAUUCCCUGUUGGUUUAAGAAACACAAAGCUUGAUUGCACAUCCUGGCUUCUUCUUCGCCUCGUCAGCAGCUCCUCAGAAAAUGGUGGCAUAUUUCUCUUUAUAGCGAUGUCUGUGGCUCGGCUAGGAACAGAAAUAACAAGUACUGAGGAACAUCUCUGCUAGCUUGGAAAAGUCACCAAGGAGAUGCAGAGCAAAGCGUAUCUGUGCAUCCUCUGUCCACUUUUCAAAGCUGCUCUUCCUACGAAAGCAGAAAGGACAUGGGAAUUCUUCUUUUAACCUCUUCUUCCACUUAUUUUGUUGAUGCUGCCAAUAAAUUAAAUGUAUCCAGGUUACAGGAGAGUGAAGUUUUGCAAGGAUUAAAAUGGGCUGAUAUUAUGUCAUUGAAAAAUUACUUAGCUUGCCACUGAAUCAAAGCUCAGCGUUGCUCUGCACAGUUAUUUCUGCCCGGGAACAAAAACAGGUCUAAAAGUCAGAAAUGAGAAGACAGCUGACAGGAUGAAAUGAAGAAAGAGAGAAAGUCAGCUGCCCCCUCUGGGGACCAGACGUCUUUGAAAUGAGCCCUGCCAGACCAAACAGAAGUCCUGUUGCUGGGCUCUAGAAAAAUAUUAGCAAAGGCUGAAUCCUGUACUCCUCAAGACUGUGGUAUGUAUAUAAAUGUAAGCUGAGAGUGAUAGACAAAGGAGGAGUGUGAAAGCUGCCACUUGAUGUUAAUGCUUGUGUCUCACUGAUCCCUCAGCACACCCAAGAGAAAGAGUGUGAGUCUGUCCUGGCCCUGAGGCUGGUUCCACCAAGGAAGGGGUAAUUGCAGCCUCCCCCUGAUGCCAAACCCCUGCCGAGGGCAGGUAUGACUGAACUCUCAAAACCAGAAGGGUUUUGACAUGGGGUUCACCUCCUCCCUGCUGAGGGAGGCUCCAAACCUGCUUCCUUUCAGCAUCGUUGUUCACACAGGACAUGGGCUUAUGCUCAGGCUUUGUGCUGCCAUCAUUAUUUUUACCAAGGCAUGGAUUUUAUUGACAUUUCCAGGAGUCAGAGUGUUACAGGACACUUGGUACUGCUAUCCAUGUGGGUCCUACUGUGUCUGCUACAUAGGAGAGAUUUAACAACAGACUCGAGCUUAUUUCUUCACCAAUAAGUAUUCAACACAGUAGCUAGCAAAUUUCUCCUUAACCACUUUAUGAAGUUACAUUACUACCUCUCCUACUGCAUAGAUUAUACUGGUAUAAUUGGCAUGCAUGUUUUAGACUGGAAGAGUUAUUCCAUUUCUGCUCAGGAGUAGCUAUCCCAAUACAGAUGUAUUUAUAACAACACAUCUGUGCCCACUCAAGAGGAAUUCUACCACUGUAGUUGUAGAGACACAGCCUUCCUGUGUGCACAGCUCAGCAGGGCGGUAUCUUCCAGUCAACAGAAGACAUUAAGGAUAAUGAUGUCUGUUACAACAUGGGCUUUGCUCCAAGGAGAGAGCACCCACCCUUCCUCCAGCAACACAAGGGAUUUACUAAGGUAGGAAAAAAAGUAAAAACAGGUGAUUCCUAAUGUCAAGGGAGAUUCUUCAAAGAAAUUGUAUCUUUCCUCCAGUGAGGAAAGCUGUUGAGUACUUUUUUUUUUAUCCAACAGCAGCGGGUGCAAUUGAACCACCCCAAACUUAUGGCUUGGCUUGCUUGCCUCAUUGCUGUCCCGAAUAGCUGCCUUGUGGUUUGGUGGCAUCAGCAGCCAGCCUGUUUUUCUGGGUGAUGUUGGGUGGGGGGAUAAUGGAUGAACAGCCCUCUUCCUCUGAGCCACACAGGAGGUUGCUCCUUACCAACUUUGUGUCCACGGGCUGUGACCAUCACUGCCCAUGCCCAGGGACUGAGCCUCUCUGUACCCCAUGAGUCCCCAGGCUCUUUCAGCAUCUCACACCUUAGCAAGAGUUUUGUCUACAUUAGUUUUCCUUGUUGUAAUUUUCCUUCUUGAGAUUUCAGAAGUGCAGCGCAGCCUUCGCCUCUUCAGCUUCCCUCUGACUUUAAAAAAGCCUCCCUGCAUCACUAACCAUCUAAACAUUUGCUAUUAAAUUAUCCAUCACAGCUUCUCCUGCAGCAGAGGGAGUUGAUGAUACCGUCUUUAUGGAGGAUAAAAAUAGCCAACAUCACAUGCAGUAGCAGUGGGGAAGGCUGAGGCAAGGCGAGCAAAGGCAGCGAAACUUCUGCUUUGGUUGCAGUUGGCUCCUUCACCUGCAGCCAUUGGGAACUGGGAAAAAAAGAUUGAGCUCCUAUAAUUGAUUGAAAUGUACCGACACUGAAUUUACACUGAAGGCCUUCACAUGGCAAGUGCUGGAUACUGCAGGUUUCUCACAGCAGCCUAAAAACUUCAGCAACUCCAAACUGUGAGUAGCACCAUCAAAGAAACAAGGAUUUCACAUCCAUCUCCUUUCUGUUUGGUAUUGGAACAAGUAUCAAUUGUGUGUGUGCUACUUGGACUGGGAUGAUGAUUUCAGAAGAGGUUUGCUGAUAUUCUAGGAGCUUCAUAGCAGUUCAGUGAAAAAAAUCAAUGGGAGCACUUUUCCCUGUAGGUAUGCAAGUUCCGAUAUUUCUGGACCAGAACUCAUCUUGCUUGAGGCUAAAGCUCUGCAGGGCUGCAGAACAGACCCCAUUAUCAGCUGCUGUUCAGGAGACAGCAGAAUACAGAGCAGGAAUUUCACAUAAGUAAAGACAAAAAUGUAGGCUUUGCAUAGUUGUGAUAUAUCCUCAUCCUACAGUGCAAUAAUUGCUCAGAAAUAGAUAAAGAAUCCUUUACACUUCCCUAGCACCUUCAGGGCACUAUCAGAAGUCACACACCCCUACAGGUACCCCAGUGCAGGAGGGACAUGCCAGGCUGAACAGGAGUGUGUAUAUUUAUCUGAGAUUAUCUAUGUGCAAUAUUAAGCUUCUGUUAAUCAAUAACUGGGUAGCUGCAGCAUGCCUAUCUCGGAGAAGCUGAUGCUCUGCUGUUUCAGUGCUGUGCAUAGAGCCGAUGGCCAUCCUUCCCCAAGAAACAGGCAGUUAGAGAAGCAUAUCAUAGAAUGGCUUGGGUUGGAAGGGACCUCCAAGAUCANAAAAUUAAUUUAAAAGGAUGCAGAAAUACAGCAUAAAUCUGGAAAA